UAAACAUGCAGGCGGAACUGGUACCGUACUGGCCACAGCAGGGUUGCGAUAGAAAUAUUAAGCGUAAUUUAAGUACGCCGUCCUUGCUGGAUUCCCUGGCAAAGGGAAUUUACAUAGACU
rnacentral:sRNA from 1 species